GACGUAGGGCGCGAGCGUUGUCCGGAUUUACUGGGCGUAAAGAGCGCGCAGGCGGUCGUUCAAGUCGCGUGUGAAAGCCCCCGGCUCAACUGGGGAGGGUCACGCGAUACUGAUCGACUCGAAGGCAGGAGAGGGUAGUGGAAUUCCCGGUGUAGUGGUGAAAUGCGUAGAUAUCGGGAGGAACACCAGUGGCGAAGGCGACUACCUGGCCUGUUCUUGACGCUGAGGCGCGAAAGCUAGGGGAGCAAACGGG
rnacentral:rRNA from 1 species